rfam:Schistosoma rodhaini strain Burundi genome assembly, scaffold: SROB_scaffold0023625
AUCCAGCUGACAAGUCGUAAAUAAGACGAGACGCGCGUUCUGAAU